rnacentral:rRNA from 1 species
GGACGAACGCUGGCGGCGUGCUUAACACAUGCAAGUCGAACGGUGAUCCUGGUGCUUGCACCGGGUGAUCAGUGGCGAACGGGUGAGUAACACGUGAGUAACCUGCCCCCGACUCUGGGAUAACCCCGGGAAAUCGGAGCUAAUACCGGAUACGAGACGCACACGCAUGUGUAGCGUCUGGAAAGAAUUUCGGUCGGGGAUGGACUCGCGGCCUAUCAGCUUGUUGGUGGGGUAAUGGCCUACCAAGGCGACGACGGGUAGCCGGCCUGAGAGGGCGACCGGCCACACUGGGACUGAGACACGGCCCAGACUCCUACGGGAGGCAGCAGUGGGGAAUAUUGCACAAUGGGCGCAAGCCUGAUGCAGCGACGCCGCGUGGGGGAUGAAGGCCUUCGGGUUGUAAACCCCUUUCAGCAGGGAAGAAGCGAGAGUGACGGUACCUGCAGAAGAAGCGCCGGCUAACUACGU